rnacentral:rRNA from 1 species
UAUAACUGCAGUCGAGCGGACAGAUGAGGAGCUUGCUCCUCUGACGUUAGCGGCGGAUGGGUGAGUAACACGUGGGCAACCUGCCCUGCAGUUGGGGAUAACUCCGGGAAACCGGGGCUAAUACCGAAUAAUCAGUUCCUUCGCAUGAAGGAACUCUGAAAGACGGCUAUGCUGUCACUGCAGGAUGGGCCCGCGGCGCAUUAGCUAGUUGGUGAGGUAACGGCUUACCAAGGCGACGAUGCGUAGCCGACCUGAGAGGGUGAUCGGCCACACUGGGACUGAGACACGGCCCAGACUCCUACGGGAGGCAGCAGUAGGGAAUCUUCCACAAUGGACGAAAGUCUGAUGGAGCAACGCCGCGUGAGUGAAGAAGGUUUUCGGAUCGUAAAGCUCUGUUGUGAGGGAAGAACAAGUACAGGAGUAACUGUCUGUACCUUGACGGUACCUCAUUAGAAAGCCACGGCUAACUACGUGCCAGCAGCCGCGGUAAUACGUAGGUGGCAAGCGUUGUCCGGAAUUAUUGGGCGUAAAGCGCGCGCAGGCGGCCUUUUAAGUCUGAUGUGAAAGCCCACGGCUCAACCGUGGAAGGUCAUUGGAAACUGGAAGGCUUGAGUACAGAAGAGGAAAGCGGAAUUCCACGUGUAGCGGUGAAAUGCGUAGAGAUGUGGAGGAACACCAGUGGCGAAGGCGGCUUUCUGGUCUGUAACUGACGCUGAGGCGCGAAAGCGUGGGGAGCAAACAGGAUUAGAUACCCUGGUAGUCCACGCCGUAAACGAUGAGUGCUAAGUGUUAGGGGGUUUCCGCCCCUUAGUGCUGGAGCAAACGCAUUAAGCACUCCGCCUGGGGGAGUACGGCCGCAAGGCUGAAACUCAAAGGAAUUGACGGGGGACCCGCACAAGCGGUGGAGCAUGUGGUUUAAUUCGAAGCUACGCGAAGAACCUUACCAGGUCUUGACAUCCCGCUGCCCGGGUAUAGAAAAUAUACCUUUUCCUUUCGGGGACAGCGGUGAACGGUGGGUGCAUGGUUUGUCCUCCACUUCGUGUCCUGGAAAUGUUGGGGUUAAGUUCCCGUAACGAAGCGCAACCCUUUGACCUUAAUUUGCCAGCCAUUAAGUUGGGGCACUUUAAAGGGGAACUGGCCGGUUGAACAAACCCGGAAGGAAAGGUGGGGGGAAUAAACGUCAAAAUCAUACAAGGCCCCCUUUAAAACCCUGGGGGCUAACAACCGGGGGCUACCAUUGGGAACGGGUAACAAAGAGGUUUGCCAAACCCCCCGGAGGG